rnacentral:rRNA from 1 species
CCUACGGGUGGCAGCAGUGAGGAAUAUUGGUCAAUGGACGAAAGUCUGAACCAGCCAAGUAGCGUGCAGGAUGACUGUCCUAUGGGUUGUAAACUUCUUUUAUAUGGGAGUAAAAUGUUCCACGUGUGUGGUUUUGUAUGUACCCUAUGAAUAAGGAUCGGCUAACUCCGUGCCAGCAGCCGCGGUAAUACGGAGGAUUCAAGCGUUAUCCGGAUUUAUUGGGUUUAAAGGGAGCGUAGGUGGAUUGUUAAGUCAGUUGUGAAAGUUUGCGGCUCAACCGGAAAAUUGCAGUUGAAACUGGCAGGCUUGAGUACAGUAGAGGUGGGCGGAAUGCGUGGUGUAGCGGUGAAAUGCUUAGAUAUCACGAAGAACACCGAUUGCGAAGGCAGCUUACUGGACUGCAACUGACGCUGAGGCUCGAAAGUGUGGGUAGCAAACAGGAUUAGAUACCCGGGUAGUC